rnacentral:lncRNA from 1 species
ACUGGGUCUCUGCCUGCAACCUUGCUCCCGCAGGGCAUGCACAUGGGCAUAUAUAGUUGUAUUUUCCCAUAAUUAAAGUACUAGUCACCGCUCCAGUGGCCACCACACCAAGGCACAGUCCCCUGCCCCACCUCAUUCAACGCCACUCCCUCCCCGUGACCCAUGAGGAAGGGAAGCAGGGCGUCCAUACCCUGGUCACCAAGCUCCACGUGCAAGCAGGGCCAGGCGUGAACUGGGAGCCAAGUCGAUCAGUCUGCACGGGGCUGAGAGAAUGGAAGUUUUUCCUCUCACGGCUCUGGAGGCUGGAUGUCCAAGAUCAACCGUCUGGCAGAGGGACACACUUCACCUAGGACGUGAACCGAAUGGCCUCACCAGGCCUAUUGUUUCAGCUGUGUACAGCUGUAAGGACCAAACAAGUCAGCCUGAGAAGAAACCACAUGGAUUUUCCAUAGAAACCCACUGAAUGAGAGAAUUUCAAAAUGGAAUGCAAGAGUUUCCGUGUGGGAAGAGGGAAAAGUUCUGGGGAUGACAGUGGCGAUGGCUGCACACCAGUGUGAAGGCAUUUAAUGAACCGUACCCUGGCGAAUGACAGCUCUUAUGUUCUGUGUACUUUGCCACAAUAAAGACAAAAGUCUCUUCCCGCUGCUAGAAGGA